rfam:Chelonia mydas contig215289, whole genome shotgun sequence.
CCAAAGGCUCUUUUUAGAGCCACCCACAAAAAUCAAAAAAGAACUGU